UGAGGGGGCGCGUCCGCCGCCCAGGGCUGGGGUCCAGCGCGCCUCGCAGGUGCGCAGUCUGCAUCCCUGACGCCCUGUCUAGACCCGCAAAAGUGUCCGCGGCGCGGCGGACUGCGCCGACAAGCUGGGCCAGCCGGCACCUGCAGGUCCCCAUCGCGCGCCCCGGUCCUUCGGAGACUGAUGACUCUUUAUUACUGAACUUACCGCCACCACACUUGGCCCUUUCUGCGUUUUGUUUUGAUCUUGUUUUCUUGGUGAAGUGGAAUCCUGGACCAUGACAUCCUUCCAUCCCCACAUCAAACCCUCACUGGCUGUCCUGGCCAGAUUCCAGACACCUGAGUCUUCUGUCCCCUACACAGCUAAUGUACAGCCCUUCCUCCUCACAUAAUAAAAAUAGAUGUAGA